UGCCAUUUUGGAAGUACCCAAUGAUAUAGGGCUUCAAAGGUGCACAUAGAAAUAUUUUCUGCUGCUGACAGAUAGUUUCCACCUGGAAUUCCAGACCAAAUUUCUGUUGGAUUCUAUAUACUACUACUACUAUAAUGUAUGUAAAUAUGUAUUUAUGGAAUUGUGUAUAUGGUGGGUCCUGUCUUUUCUACUUUUUUUCGUUGAUGUUUCUGCAUCAGAUAUUUUGUAAAAGAUCCAUUGUAAUUGAAAUAAACAACAGAUAUUGAACAUGCCCUGGCUGCAUAAUAGUAUGGCCCACUUAAAUGUUUAUAAUCUUGUUUACCCUGAUUUAUAACAUGCCCUUUCGAGAUUCACCCAGUCAUAGGCCUGGUUGUCUUCAUAAUCUUGCUACUGAAGACUAGAACUAUAGUAAAUUGGGCCCUAAAGAGGUCGUACAAUGUGAAUGACUGCAAUAAUGUUGCAAUGUAUAGAUUAGCCUAUCAGAUCCAAAUUCUACCACGGAAUUUGGGAAUGACAUUUAGCGUUGACCAAAGAAGGGUGAUAGAGCUGACUAGUUUGUAGGUUUUGAAAGGCGGUUUGAUGCUGUCAAACGGGACCAAAAAUUACUAUUUUGAUAAAAAAUGUUCUGCUGGAAACCAGAGACACCUUGUGGUAGAUGUGAAGAUUGCGUUUCAUAUUUUCGAUCAAGACGAAGUGGAACUUCAAGGGGAAAACUCAAGAGAUGAUCUGAAGUUCUUAAACGUAUUUGACAUGGCUACGGAAACAUAAUUAUUUGCUGGUAUUCCGAAGAUUCCAUAUGUACCCAAUGCUGGAGCUCGAGACGUCUUGUGUUUCCAACACUACAAUGCAGAAGAAGGACAUGUCCCCUGAGGGAAGCACUCUGGAGGACUCCAACAGCAACCUGGAUGAGAUGACAGACCUGGACCUGCAGCUGCAGAAUAGGACUGGGGUGAAGGUGCUGUGGGUCACCUGCAAUCUGUUCGCUCACUCAAGAGUACAAGGAGAAGAUGGGGUUGAAGUGCCAGUUCCUCAUUGAACCCAAGCCUAAAGAGCCAUGCAAACAUCAGUACGACUAUGAUGCAAUGAGUGUCAUAGGCUUCCUGAAGCAUUAUGACCUGGACAGCCAUUUCAAACUGAACAUCGAACCCAACCACACCACUCUGGCUGGGCAUUCCUAUGAACACGACGUCGUCAUGGCCUCUGUGUUUGGCAUGCUGGGCUUUGUGGACUCCAAAACAGGUUUUUUAUUUAUUUAUUA